rnacentral:rRNA from 1 species
UACCAGCACCCCGAGUGGUCGGGACGUUUAUUGGGCCUAAAGCCUCCGUAGCCGGUUCUACAAGUCUUCCGUUAAAUCCAACUGCUUAACAGGUGGGCUGCGGAAGAUACUAUAGAGCUAGGAGGCGGGAGAGGCAAGCGGUACUCGAUGGGUAGGGGUAAAAUCCGUUGAUCCAUUGAAGACCACCAGUGGCGAAGGCGGCUUGCCAGAACGCGCUCGACGGUGAGGGAUGAAAGCUGGGGGAGCAAACAGG